AUGCACUCUGCACCAAAUAUAGAUGUGAGACAGGCUGCGCUUUCUCCCUGUGAAGAAGGAAGACUAAGAUGCAGAUUGCAACCUACAUCCAAGUCUCAAGGCAGCUGCAAACUGUCCCACUAAGAAGGGAGAAGAGACUGGGACUGGUAAUUCUUCUGUUACUUCUACAUACAUCACUGGUGUAAAGACCGCAUAAAUAUAAUAAUUACUGAGGGUGAAAAAGUCACUACUUAGAAAAAGUGGACAUGUUGUCUUUGGAAGGUUUGAAAUUAGAUCUGCCUGUUUUCUGUGAAAAGAUGGGAAAGAAUUUCUAAUGAGUAUUAGUGCUCUGCCUUUUCCGUUUCAGCAAUAAGCAUUCAGGAUUCUUCUGCAUAUGAGGCUACUAUGAAACUUUACCAAAAGCAUAUUCAGAAGGCAUUAGAAAAGUAUUUUGCGUACCCAUCGGGAUAAACUACAGGCACCGUUAGUCUGUCCAACAGCGAUUUUCCAACUGCUUCAAUUUCAUCAAAUUGCUCCAUUUCACUAAAAGCUUCAGGCUGCUCUGGACCUUCUUGCAAAAUCUAUUAAAAGAAAUAAGGAAGUGCAAAAUAAAGUACACAAGGGAUACUGCAUAGUUUUUCAAGUGUCAUUAACUGGCAAAGUGAAUGCUCUUUCACCAUCUUCACUACCACAUUGAUAUGAGAUCAACUGAAAUAUUCAUACAGUUCAAGAAAGGAAAAUAUCCAUUAAGCUGCACUGAGAAGAUAGUUCAGGGCUACCACUGUUCUGUACAGAACAUUUUACAUUACUUCUAAGAGGGGAAGAAAAAAGUACAAAUAGUCUGGCUAGACAAUAUUCCAGCAACAAAUAUAAAAUGCAUAAAAAUAGUAACCUGCAUCAUUAAACAUACAAGACUUUCAUACAAAAUGGAAGAAACAUGGAUAACAAAGGGCCCCUUACAAGC